UACGUAGGGGGCAAGCGUUGUCCGGAAUCAUUGGGCGUAAAGCGCGUGUAGGCGGCCCGGUAAGUCCGCUGUGAAAGUCGGGGGCUCAACCCUCGAAUGCCGGUGGAUACUGUCGGGCUAGAGUGCGGAAGAGGCGAGUGGAAUUCCUGGUGUAGCGGUGAAAUGCGCAGAUAUCAGGAGGAACACCCGUAGCGAAGGCGGCACUCUGGGCCGAUACUGACACUGAGGAGCGAAAGCGUGGGGAGCGAACAGG
rnacentral:rRNA from 1 species